UACACAGCAGAUCAGCUGAGUCAUUGGGCUGUGCAAGUGUACAAAAGCGAGUGGGUAGACACUCACACUCGGUCUGCCCUGCCUCUCCCAAGGGCUCGGGUUGCUACUGUGUGCAGAGCUCCACAGGUCUGCUGCUUGACGAGGACUCGGGAGCCAGCACUGAGUCCUUGUGGACGGCCAGGCACACUGGGAUAACCCUGCCCAGAAGAGGAGAUCAGACACUGCUGUCCCCAGGGAAAGCAACAGAAGCGUUUUGGUUGCUCCCUGCUGCAAUCGGGAGUCAUGUGGCUGGAACUCCUCCUGGCCUCAGCGCUGGGCCUUGUCAUCUACUGGUUCGUCUC